AGAGUUUGAUCAUGGCUCAGAUUGAACGCUGGCGGCAGGCCUAACACAUGCAAGUCGAACGGUAACAGGAAGCAGCUUGCUGCUUCGCUGACGAGUGGCGGACGGGUGAGUAAUGUCUGGGAAACUGCCUGAUGGAGGGGGAUAACUACUGGAAACGGUGGCUAAUACCGCAUAACGUCGCAAGACCAAAGAGGGGGACCUUCGGGCCUCUUGCCAUCAGAUGUGCCCAGAUGGGAUUAGCUUGUUGGUGAGGUAACGGCUCACCAAGGCGACGAUCCCUAGCUGGUCUGAGAGGAUGACCAGCCACACUGGAACUGAGACACGGUCCAGACUCCUACGGGAGGCAGCAGUGGGGAAUAUUGCACAAUGGGCGCAAGCCUGAUGCAGCCAUGCCGCGUGUAUGAAGAAGGCCUUCGGGUUGUAAAGUACUUUCAGCGGGGAGGAAGGUGUUGUGGUUAAUAACCGCAGCAAUUGACGUUACCCGCAGAAGAAGCACCGGCUAACUCCGUGCCAGCAGCCGCGGUAAUACGGAGGGUGCAAGCGUUAAUCGGAAUUACUGGGCGUAAAGCGCACGCAGGCGGUCUGUCAAGUCGGAUGUGAAAUCCCCGGGCUCAACCUGGGAACUGCAUUCGAAACUGGCAGGCUUGAGUCUUGUAGAGGGGGGUAGAAUUCCAGGUGUAGCGGUGAAAUGCGUAGAGAUCUGGAGGAAUACCGGUGGCGAAGGCGGCCCCCUGGACAAAGACUGACGCUCAGGUGCGAAAGCGUGGGGAGCAAACAGGAUUAGAUACCCUGGUAGUCCACGCCGUAAACGAUGUCUACUUGGAGGUUGUGCCCUUGAGGCGUGGCUUCCGGAGCUAACGCGUUAAGUAGACCGCCUGGGGAGUACGGCCGCAAGGUUAAAACUCAAAUGAAUUGACGGGGGCCCGCACAAGCGGUGGAGCAUGUGGUUUAAUUCGAUGCAACGCGAAGAACCUUACCUGGUCUUGACAUCCACGGAAGAAUUCAGAGAUGGAUUUGUGCCUUCGGGAACCGUGAGACAGGUGCUGCAUGGCUGUCGUCAGCUCGUGUUGUGAAAUGUUGGGUUAAGUCCCGCAACGAGCGCAACCCUUAUCCUUUGUUGCCAGCGGUCCGGCCGGGAACUCAAAGGAGACUGCCAGUGAUAAACUGGAGGAAGGUGGGGAUGACGUCAAGUCAUCAUGGCCCUUACGACCAGGGCUACACACGUGCUACAAUGGCGCAUACAAAGAGAAGCGACCUCGCGAGAGCAAGCGGACCUCAUAAAGUGCGUCGUAGUCCGGAUUGGAGUCUGCAACUCGACUCCAUGAAGUCGGAAUCGCUAGUAAUCGUGGAUCAGAAUGCCACGGUGAAUACGUUCCCGGGCCUUGUACACACCGCCCGUCACACCAUGGGAGUGGGUUGCAAAAGAAGUAGGUAGCUUAACCUUCGGGAGGGCGCUUACCACUUUGUGAUUCAUGACUGGGGUGAAGUCGUAACAAGGUAACCGUAGGGGAACCUGCGGUUGGAUCACCU
rnacentral:rRNA from 3 species